rnacentral:lncRNA from 1 species
UUAAAAGACUGUUUUCAGCACUAUUUUCUUCAAGUUCGCAUUUUCAGUAUUUAGAAGAUAAGGAUGAGAAUCACAGGCCUGGACAUAAAUGGAAGACCCACGCUCCACUUUCAGUUCAGUCAUCCUCAAGUACUUGCAAGGAGCUACGUGGCCCUACUUUUCUUGUCUCCCUCAGGCAGGUACUCAGAGCAGCUGGAUACAGGCUCCCACAGCCAGACACCUGCAUCACCAGGCUCAGCGGGGCCUGCCAACCUCCUCACUGAUGACACCCAGGAUGAUGUUCUCCAGCCCUGUCUGCACCCUUAGCUGUGACCGGCCCCGAACCACGGCCUGCCAAAGCAGGAGACCCUCACAAGUUCUGCACCUAAUGGAAGAAUCUUUCUUGUUUUCCUGCCUGAAGGACAAGAAGGUUUUCAGGUUCCUCCAGGAGCAGCCAGUUCCAAAUAGCUCAGGCCACCUCUUUCUCCAUGCAGUAAUCUAGCAGAUCUUCAACUUUUUCAGCAAAAAGGGAUGAUAAUCCUCAUUGGACUGAUCAGCAGCUAGAAUUUUCGGAGGCCUGUUUGGUGCAGAAAAUGGAGAUGGAAAGACUUUCUGAGCAAUGAGGACUCCAGCCAGACUUUGAAGAACUCCUUCCAAAGUACCAGGCUCAGGGAAUUCCCUGGUGGUCCAGUGGUUAGGACUCGGCGCUUUUACUGCUGUGACUCAGAGUCAAUCCCUGAUCCCACAAGCCGCUGGACGUGGCCAAAAAAACCCAAAAACAAAAAAGACAAAAAAAACCCCAAAAGUAAACACAAAGUACCAGGGUCGAUCUGAGAAGGAAAGUACACAACUGCUGUUGCCUGGGACAUUGUCAUACUGGAAGUUAAGAUGUGAAAAUCAGUAAAUGCUUUCUUUGUAUUAAUAAGCUCAUCAGAAGACUCAGGAAGUUGAAAAGGAGACUUAGUCUUCAACACUAUGUCUCAUCUACAGUCCUCCCUCAGUACCCAAGGAGGAGAGGUUCCAGGACCUCCACGGAUACCGU